rnacentral:rRNA from 1 species
UACGGAGGGUGCAAGCGUUGUUCGGAAUCACUGGGCGUAAAGGGCGUGUAGGCGGUCUGGCAAGUCCGAUGUGAAAUCCCGAGGCUUACCCUCGGAAGUGCAUUGGAUACUGGCGGGCUAGAGUCCCGGAGAGGAGGGUGGAAUUCCUGGUGUAGCGGUGAAAUGCGUAGAUAUCAGGAGGAACACCGGUGGCGAAGGCGGCCCUCUGGACGGUGACUGACGCUGAGACGCGAAAGCGUGGGGAGCAAACAGG